CAGUAGCCACGGUAAUACGAGGGGAGCUAGCGUUGUUCGGAAUUACUGGGCGUAAAGCGCGCGUAGGCGGCUUUUUAAGUCAGAGGUGAAAGCCCGGGGCUCAACCCCGGAAUUGCCUUUGAAACUGGAAAGCUAGAAUCUUGGAGAGGUCAGUGGAAUUCCGAGUGUAGAGGUGAAGUUCGUAGAUAUUCGGAAGAACACCAGUGGCGAAGGCGACUGACUGGACAAGUAUUGACGCUGAGGUGCGAAAGCGUGGGGAGCAAACAGGAUUAGAUACCCCCGUAGUCCCUGUCUCUUAUAC
rnacentral:rRNA from 1 species